rnacentral:rRNA from 1 species
AUUGAACGCUGGCGGCAGGCCUAACACAUGCAAGUCGAACGGUAACAGGAAGCAGCUUGCUGCUUUGCUGACGAGUGGCGGACGGGUGAGUCAUGUCUGGGAAACUGCCUGAUGGAGGGGGAUAACUACUGGAAACGGUAGCUAAUACCGCAUAACGUCGCAAGACCAAAGAGGGGGACCUUAGGGCCUCUUGCCAUCGGAUGUGCCCAGAUGGGUUUAGCUAGUAGGUGGGGUAACGGCUCACCUAGGCGACGAUCGCUAGCUGGUCUGAGAGGAUGACCAGCCACCCUGGAACUGAGACACGGACCAGACUCCUACGGGAGGCAGCAGUGGGGAAUAUUGCACGAUGGGCGCGAGCCUGAUGCAGCCAUGCCGCGUGUAUGAAGAAGGCCUUCGGGUUGUAAAGUACUUUCAGCGGGGAGGAAGGGAGUAAAGUUAAUACCUGUGCUCAUUGACGGUACCCGCAGAAGAAGCACCGGCUAACUCCGUG